GCCAAGUGGAAAGGGACCUGGGAGGGCAGAUCUUAGGAAAGAUUAAGGGGUAAGAGGAGCCAGGAUCAGGCCAGAUCAUUCAGGUCCCCAGAGUCAAUGACAACAUAAAGCACGUCACGACAGUGGAAAGUGGUUUUGUGAAGUGUGGUCAAGACAAAUUUCUCUUUCUGAUGCCAGAAACAACUGUACACUCAGACUGUCUUUUCUGCUGACCUGAGCAGGCAUUUGCUGGAGGAGGAUCUCUGUUUGCAGUCUUCAGACCUGCCUCCCCCUGGGUGCCCAGAGAGGAGGGUGUCCCCACCAGAUGCCAAGCCCCAGACACCUGGAUUUCUACUGAUUUGCAGGGACCGAGGAGAAGGUCUGCUAGAAUUACUGCCUCUUCCAGGUUGACAGCUAGACCCUGCAGAAAGAGGAACAGAAGAGGCCAGUGUUGCUGUUUCCGAGCUGAAGAUGGAGAAACUCUAUAUGGCCAGCAAGAACAAGACCUGGAGCUGACUGUGCCUCAGAUCAUUAGCUCCUUAUGGCAAAAUUCAAGCUUAAAUUGAAGAAAGUCGGGAAAACCACCAGGCCAUUCAGGGUCAGAAGUAAUAAGCUCCAUAUAGUUCGUGAGUAUGCUGUCCUGUUCAUUUUUCAGGUUGUUUGCUGCCUGUCUUUUCAGUUCCUGGACCCUAAGGACAAACCGAGUGGCAGUAGGUGGCGUACAGAAAUUAAUCCAUUGAGCUGCUUUUGGCACCUCCCGUCCUUGCUCCCCGGUGUGUCCACAGCGCCCAGCAGCUGUGUGCUGCUGCUGCUAAGUCACUUCAGUCGUGUCCGACUCUGUGCGACCCCAUAGACGGCAGCCCACCAGGCUCCCCCGUCCCUGGGAUU